rnacentral:lncRNA from 1 species
AGAGGUUCAAUUUUUAAGACAUGCCGCAGAUCAUUUUCCUAUCCUCCGUUUUCCACUCAGCAAUAUCAAUUAAUUAAAGAGUUUAAAUAUCAAGCCCAACAAUAAUUUCCAUCCUCACUAAAAUACAUUAAGAACAAAUAAAGGUGGAUCAAAAACUAAAAUAAAGGAAGUAGGUGAUCUGGGGUUUUAAGAAAAAAGAAAGUAAAUGGGCGUACGUUGUUCUUGGAAGUAAUAAUUUCCUUGGAGGUGACAGC